CUUUAUAGGGGUUAAUUAUCAUAAUAACAAUUCAUAAAAAAAUAUUUACUAUCUACGUUCUCCCAGGACUACCCUGUGGAACUCUUUACUUCAAUACUUUGCACUUUUGUGUGGUGUAGCCUUGUAAGCUGUAGCAGAUUAUAUCUUGGAAUGCAUAGUAUAGCAGAUGUAUUAGCUGGUCUGCUACUUUCCGCACUCCUUUUACCUGUACUGAUGUAUACAGCUCUGUACCUGGAUUUCUGGCUGGUCAGCUCGCCACUCAGUGCGCCGGUCACUCUUUUCCUGUCAUUUCUAGCAAUCUGGAUUUAUCCUUCCUCUGGCAGAUGGACCCCAGCACGUGGUGAGACUACCGCCAUCUUGGGAAGUUAUAUUGGGGCCCAGAUGGGAUUCUGGUUACUGGUCCAGCUUGGAUAUCUUACUACUGGUGGUAUGAAAGAAGCAUUUGUCUGGGAUCGAUGGAAUUUAGCUCACAUUGUCAUCAGAAGCGUCAUUGGCGGAAUAGUUGGUGGGAUUGCUAAAACCGGUUCUAAACCAGUUUGGAUCCGGUUUUCCUGCUACCUGGCCGGUAUUGACCACAGACGAUAUGAGAAUAGUAGAAACCUGUUUGUUGAAUUAUUCUAUAAGUUCUGGAGCUACGCAACCCUAGGGAUGAUGGUUGUCUCUGUCUCUCCUCUCAUCUUCUCCAUCCUUGGCAUUCAACGGGAAUCCUUCCUAUCAGAGCUCACACCCUGAUAUAUCAAUCUCUAAAGAUUAAAGGUUGUGUGUGCUAAAUUAUUCAAGUGGAAAACGUCUAAAUGUAAUUUUCACUUUAAGUUGGGGCUUUUUUAUAUUUCUAUUGUUGAAAACGCAUGCUAACGUAUAACCAAAUAUAUGAACACUGAACAUUGAACAAAUGUAAAAGCAAAUAUAUGAACACUGAACAGUGAACAAAUGUUUAACUAACGAAGGCGGUACGCGUACUGAAUUUUCCUUAAAAUCCACUAUGAAUGAGGUAUUUUGGCAUCUAUUUAUGAACAUUUCUUUACUUUAAAAUGGCGCAAACAUUUGAUAUUUUUACUAAAUGAAUGUUACUAAAUCAAUAAUCA
rnacentral:misc_RNA from 1 species